ensembl:lncRNA
UUUAACUGUUUAUUUUCAUAUUUUCUUCUUACCAUAUACAGAAAAAAGAACUUGUAAAAAAAAAACUGCCCCUUUUAGGCUUGCAUUUAUUAUUUAUUUUCACUGCCUCACAUAGAUGCUUCAGACUGGGACUCCGCCAGCACCACCAGUAAGGCCAGUAAGAACUACCCAGUUCAUAAGCUAGAAGACGAACCUCUCUUUGAAAGCCCAGCAGCUUCCACACUACCCAUAACACCUCAGCAACAGGACAUGGACACCAGGGAACAUGAAGAAGCCAAUCCAGAGAGAAACAAACCCACAAUCUCAAGCACAACACCUCUACCUAGUCCACGAUCUCUCAACCCAAACGUCAGCUCAAAACCACAGCCACUGCCACGGCUGCGCUUGGACUCCAAUCAGAGGCCAGAGAGUGAAGGUAGAACUCAGAAACUGCAAAUCUUAGAUUUAGUUCAGUAAAUAUAUAUGCUGAUUACAUAACUUGUUUAUUUACAGAAUCGGACUGGGAUACGGACACUUUCAGUCCAGCCAAGAAGACAGCUUCACUGCCAAAUGUCGCUGAGCCUGAUGCAGGUAAAACUGUGAGGGUGAGCACUCAGGGUUUAAUAUUUCUCACUGUAUUUUAUAUAACAUAGUAACAUGGGUGAAUUUCUCUUCAGUUCGUCGGCAGAAACCCAAAGCUGAAGAUGCAGAGAGUGAAGACCGUUCUGACGCAAGCGAAGAUGUAGAUCAGGCAAGAGAGGCAUUACAAGCAUCUUCCGUAUACAUAAAUAAGCCAUCUAACCAUGAACCACUGGAGCGCCCAACCUCUCCUAUAGAGGACGAACAAGAGGAGAAAGCUGAUGAGAUUCCCUGGGAGGAACGCUAUGAGAAAAUCUGGGUGGAUAAUGAAAAAAAGGAGACCAAGUCCCAAUAUAAAAACGUGGCUGCUGAACUAAAAGAGAGGUUUGGAGAACUGGAGCACAAGGAACCACCAAGUAGGCUUUCGGAGCAGGAGUGGAAAGAAGAUGAACAAUAUGAUGAGGUGGAAAAGGAAGCAGAUGAUGAAGAUUCCAGUGAGGAAGAUGGAGAGCUAAUAGUGCGACCCACCGCCCGGGCAAGAAGUGCCAUACUGUUGCCCAUCCCAGAGCAGAGAGAGUCAGGCCUGGAGGACUCACAGUCUGAAAGUGUCCACCGCACAAUUAGUGUUGAGGUCAGUGAUGCAGAGCUUCCCAGUGACCACCACAACCCCCAAAUCAUCCCAGAAGUCCUAACAGAUGAGGACCAGGAGCCAGACAAACGAGCGGAUGACAUUGAGGAACCUGAUAGUGGAAGCAAAGAAAAGUGUCCACUAGAAUCUGGAAGCAACAUAGAUGAAGAACCUGAACUUCACAGACCUUCAUUGCAUGUUGAGAAUGAGCUACAAAUCCCACAUAAAUUUCUAGAAGCGACCCCUUCUGACCCCGACGAGGUUGGCGAGGGCUUGUGGAAGUCCAGACUUGAGGUAGGACCCCGGGAGGAGUCUCAGACAAACUUGUAUAACGAAUGAAGACUUUCAGUUUUGCCUCUGUCUUCUUGUUCUUCAUUCACAUAAACUCAAAAUGUGAGGGAAAAGCUCCAGCUUCAAAAACAAAACCAUCUGUCGUCUUGUAAUGCUGCCCAGACGCUGACGGGCCAAAUUACACAGCUGCUCCCUAUCUCUGGUUGUGCUAAUCAUUAGCUCUGUUCCAAAACUAGUGAGCUGCCUAGCUGGACAUGACAUGCUUCUGAUUAUGUUGCCUUGUUUUGUCCAAAAACGUGUUUUUAAAACUUUUUAUAAGCUCUUUACCGGUACAUUUUGUGCUCAUGUUGCAGUGCUUUGAAGCUAAUUUAGCGCAUUUACGCAGAAAAACAAUUAUUGUAAUUGUGAAUUUGCAAAUAUUUGCAUUUUAUACAGUAUUGAAAGUGUUGAAAAAGGCCUUAAUCUAAAUAAGCACAUUUCAAAUUUGUAUGUGUCGUAGAGCAAGCAGUGGUCUUCUCAGUGACGCUCGAGAAGCAGAGUUCCAGAUGUCAAAAUAAGACUUUAUUGUGCAACAAAGCUGAGAUGACAGUCACCGCAUCUGGGUCUUUGUCUGUCUGGGCAGCCAUACUUAUACCUUGUUCUUAUCAGUCGUUUUUACCAAAAAUUGGUAAUCUGGUUUCUUAUUGGUUUCGCUUGUCUGGUUUGCCACAAUUAAUUAAUACUCCUCCUGACUUCUUUUGUAAUUGUGGAAUCUGGGCCAGAUGGGCCAUUUUUAAAAUUACUUUUAUUUUGCUGUGUUCUUUGGGUUGGCACAAUAAAGACAUGUUCCUACAUCUCCCA